CACGUGGGAUGAAAAGUCUAAUAUUUCCAUAAAUUACCUUCAGUGGUCGUGAUUUCAUGUGCUCGGCCAAUUGUUUUUCAGCGUGAUUUGUGACUCGCUGGAAAAAAGCAUGUCGGGUGAUGUUUUGUGUCGACGCAAGUUGUGAACCAUAAGCGAACAACCCCCAAAAAUCUGGUAUUCUCAGCACAACAGGACACUCUCCUUUACAAAGACUUAGUUGUUUUAGAGUACAGCUUGUCGAGGUGCAUUCACAUUGAAAACUUCGAUACAUUAGUGAACGUCAUGUGACCUGCUGCUUUGACAAAGCUUUGAAUUCCACAUUCAGGUUGAAUGAUUCAUUUCCUACCUUCUUCCACCUCCCCCCACCCUCUUUUUUCCCCAUCAAACCUAUUUUGUCUUCUUGUUUGGCAGAACUUUAAGCCUCUGUCCAUGAGACUCAAGGUAAAUAUGAACAAUGCAUCGUUACGCAGAUUAUUGGGCAAGAGUAACAAGGACCCACAACUCCAACUGCCACAACUACAACAAGGACCCGCAACUACAACUGCUUCCGAGAUAAAGGUUCCAAGGACAAGAGAGAUGGCAUUCAGUAGAUGUGCCUGCACGUUUUCCUUGCCUUCUGGUUUCCAUGUCAUCCAUGUCUACCUUCCUUAUCACUUGCUCAAGUCUUCUCACUUUGUGAGUAUACCUUCCUUCCUUCUUUAAGUUUACUUUCCUUGUUACUGUUUCGAUAUCGCUAUCUGUA
rnacentral:lncRNA from 1 species